rnacentral:lncRNA from 1 species
GAGCUAGAGUGAGGUUUCAUAACAAUUUUGAAAGGGUGACUGUUUUUUAAACUUCGAUUGUUUUGUUUGUGGCCCAUAUCAUAUAGAGCAUGUGAAGUACAAAGUCCAUGUUCCUUUUAUGUCUUCAAACACUAUACGUAGUUCACAGCUGAAACGACGCCGUUGCCGAGUAAGCAUCAUUAUUGAUUUUCGGUGAAGACUCGAUUGACCUAUGGCGCGUAGCAACUAGCAACUUAGUUUUUCGACCCUGUGCAUACCCCCAUUUUACAACAAUCCUCUUGUUACGUAAAACGUCUAAAUAAAAUCUGCCAAAAAAAAAUCGUAUACAUAUAUUAUAAAUCUUGUCGUGAAUAAAUUGGUGCGUUUUAAUAUUGUCUUAUGUCUGAUGUAUUUCGAGAUUAAAUUGAAUUGUAAUAAUAAUUUUUUGUGUAAUUAAAAAU